GCCCUUAUAGCUCAGUGGUAGAGCGUUGCACUUGUACGGCAAUCAUGUGAUUGUUCCGACGCAUGCAAAGGUCUGUUGUUCAAUCCAGCAUGGGGGCA
rfam:Cylindrobasidium torrendii FP15055 ss-10 unplaced genomic scaffold CYLTOscaffold_41, whole genome shotgun sequence.